rnacentral:rRNA from 1 species
GGAAUCUUCCACAAUGGGCGAAAGCCUGAUGGAGCAACGCCGCGUGUGUGAUGAAGGGUUUCGGCUCGUAAAACACUGUUGUAAGAGAAGAAUGACAUUGAGAGUAACUGUUCAAUGUGUGACGGUAUCUUACCAGAAAGGAACGGCUAAAUACGUGUCAG